rnacentral:sRNA from 1 species
GUAUACAUGUGUGUACAUGUAUGUGUACAUGUAUAUACACUUGCAUGUACACGUAUGUUUGCAUGUGCACAUACAUGUACACACAUGUAUGCAUGUAUAUGCACAUGCAUGUAUACAUGUGUGUGCAUGUGUACAUGUGGGCAUGCAUGUAUAC